rnacentral:lncRNA from 1 species
UAUCAGUUACAUGUUGACGCCCCUUUCGUACACAGUUCAUUGAUUUGGCCGGUAGAGGACCAAUGUCCCUUGCUACAAGUAGAUUUCGACGUAAUUUUCACGAGCAUUUUAAAUCAAAAACAACCACCUCCGUUUAGGCAGUUUGCCAAAAAAUAAAUAAGAAAGAACCCGCGACUGAAUGCUGUUGGCAUGGCAACAGCCACAACGUCUGUUUCCCUUUCGUGGCUUAUUCCAUCUCCGAAAUGAAGGUGUUUCGACGAUUGUGUGAUUACACACCCUUUUAAAAAAGGAAAAAACAAAAACGACUAAUCAUAUCACCCAGUGUGUCUGGAAUAUACUCGCGACAAAAUGGUGGUUCACCGUCCGUCCGUAAUGCUAUUCUCAAACAGCCAAUGAGGAGGCAGCCAUGACGUCACCGUCGGACCGGCGCAGUACAUAAAACUCCGCCCCUUUUAGAAAAACUUUUUUUGUGGGGGCCGGCGCCGGCCUUGAGGAGUCCCGUCGCCUCAGCUCCACAACGACGUCCCAAUGGCGUUGCGCAGUUCAGUUGCUGGCCAGUCGACCUUCUGUCGAAACACUGGGCGCAACUAGUAGUUGUGUCCUGGGAUCCCACACACACAGAAAGAAUUCCUUGGCUUUCAUACUUUUGGUUUAGAAUCUUUAAAAAAAAAAACUUGUAAUUUUAUCUCUCUCACGUAAGUGUGUCUGUACUACCUCUCCAGUGUUGCCAGCCUCGAAAAUAACCAACCGCUGCUGAUGUCGUCUCAUCAUCUCAUUCGGGUAAAGAAAAACAACAAGAAAAAGGCUAAUUUUUUUGAAACCUAUAAAGAAACAUUUUUGUGUGUAAAUUUUAUCAUCGUCCUUGGGGUUUACGACUUGUUUGUUCAGGAUUUUCAUUUUUUAUUAUCUGUGGAAUGCAAAGUUUUUUUCAAGUCUUGUUUUUUUUUUAUCUUGUUACGAGUGAAGUGACGUACAGUUGUGUGUCACAUUUUCGUUGAGACUAAAUUGUUGUUUCUUAUUUAUUUGGUUUUGUCUGAGUAGUGUAGUUAAUAAUAAUAUUGGGGAAUUUUUGGUUUCAAUGGCUUUCUCUCUGGCCUGCCAUGCGACGACAUGCCCACAGCUAGAACUUGGCUGCUGCGCCUUAUAUGGAAAGAGGCCAGUUGAGCACUGGAAUGUGGUUUUUUUCUUUUUCCUUCUCAUCCAUGUCUUUUCAUUCUCUUCUCUUUUCUCCUGGUAUUCUCCUUUUCGAUAUCAUAAUCGCUAGGAAAAGCAAAAGAAGAAGAAGAAGAAAAAAAUUAGAAAAUGGCCCUCGAGACUUGGGUCUCGGUCGACCACCAUGUUUUAUUUGGCGGCUGUUGCCAUGCGGAUUUUUAUUUUACAAGUCAGGCCUAAUUAAAAGAAAGUCUGGCACAUUCCAUUGCCCAUCUGCACGCUUCCAUCUCGUCCAAUCUAGCCACCACUUACUAACCAUCAGUUUAGUUACGUCGACUUUUUUUUUUUAUAUUUUUUAAAAGAAUCCCCCCCGAACGAAAUUGUUUCUCUUUUUCGACAUUUUUUUCCAGACAGGAAGUGACGUCACGUGUUAGCCUUGCGUCUGAAUGGGGGUGGAGUCUGUAAGUUGGCCCUGAGGGGGGGCGGCGGCGGCGGCGUGUAAAAUGAUACGGCUGAUAAAUCAUGUCGCACACACACACACACAGACGCGGGUAAUACAACACUGCGGAGGAAAAGAAAAAAAUUAAAAAAAACAUGGCCGAUUAUUAUUUUUACGACGGACGACUUGGUGGUGGUGUCGGACCGUCGGUGAAUUCCGAUUUGUUCACAUCUCGUGGUGACUGUUGGGUGCGUUGAAUUCGCCGCCAUAUACGUCGUCGUCCGUGCGGGAGAGCCAAGUGGGGAGGGGCGUAUAUUUCGAUUAGAUCCCCUCUGGCCAAGGUGAUUCAUUGGAAAUUCACAGCCUUGCCUCGAGGCUUUUUCUCUCUCUCUCUCUCCUUUGGAAUUUUUCGUCUUCUUCUUCUAUAAAUACGAGACUCGCCGUACAAUUCCCUUCUCGUCUGUAGAAUGUUGAGCAUCCCGUGAUCGACCAAAUGUGGCCGGUGGGUGGGUUUAAGGAGGGGAGGGAGGGGGAGCCCUUGUGCCAAAAUGUGUAAAUUUAAACUCGCGACGUCGCGACGUCUGGCCGCGGGCGAGGUAUUUUGGGACGCUCUGACUCAAAAAGUUUUUUAACACUUCCCGGUCUCUUCUUUUUUACUUGUGUUGUCUGGUCUGGGAAUUUAAUUAAAAGAAUGUGUUCACUUUAUUUUUUGAGGGUUUUUUUCUGUUUUUAUGUCUUUUUGGGAUGCUGGAGAUAAUGGCGCCCCUACCGGAUUUGGUUGUGGAGGGGAAAAAUAGUUUCGGCGUUGUGUGUGUUUGGUUGCAAAGACCAAACUUGGGUCGGCCAGAUGAACAGCUCUGAAUAGUUUGCCCUUAUUAGGGUCUUCUUCUUCUUUCUUUCUUUCUUUGGCUGCUGGCAGCAAUGGCGUCGUCGGCUGUGUGUUGGACGGCCACUGACCCGACGAGCGGAGAAGAAAACCGAACAGCGGAAUGUUGCUCCUCCUGUAUUUCCUUGCAUGGUCUGUCGACUUGUUUCGAUCUAUAUAAGUGUGUGUGUGUGAUCAUCAGACUAACCGAAUUAUGUUACAUCGUUGUUGUCGAUGAACUCUCCCCGGUGCUGGUGGUGGUGGUGUGGGACACGGGCUAGCGUGGGAAAAUGGGCGCAAAAGUGCGGUUCUUCGUUUUCUCUUGUGUGUGUGCAAGUCUGCGCGAGUCUCUCUCUCUCUCCAUGUGUGUGGGAUCGGCCAGACUUAAGCUUUCCCAUGUCUGCGCAACUCCCACCACUUUUCUUUCCUUCUAUUCUUUUCAUUCCACAUUUUCUCUCUCUCCCUUAUUUUUCUUUUCUCAGUUGUUGCACACACACGCAGGUAUCCAGACGGAGAGAGAGGGAAAAUCCGGUCGGGGGGGGGCUGAUGGUACGAGGAAUUCCUCACUAGUUGCAUUUUUUCUCCAUAGAUGGCGCUCGCAUCUGCGCAUGGGUGCGCCUGGAAAUAUCAAGUGGGUUCUUCUCUUUGGCCUAAACCGGAACGAGCGUCGCUCAAAACAGCAGUCGAGAGAGUCUUUUCGGGUCCUCCAAAUGGGGUCUUCUCUUUUUUCCAGUCGUCAAAGACUGAAUGAAAAUGGAAAAGAGUCUCAGAAUGGGGAGGGGAUUGGUGUAGAAAGGCGGCGCGAGGCGGCAGUUGGUCUGUGGAAUGCGGUCAGUGCUCCUCUCUCUCUCUCUCUCUGUGUGUGUGUGCGAGGGCUUUGCUCUCACACACAUUCGCCCGGGUCCCAUUCAGCCCCGUCGCCUCACCGCAUUCCUCUACACUCUUCUGACGAACGCGGUUGUGUGGCCUCAGUCCGUCUCCACCAUCACCACCAGUGUGCUGCUGCUGCUGCUGCAUAGUGAUAGCCUCGACUAACCAAUCUCUCUCUCAGCUGAUUGUGUGUCUUGGUUUUAGAGAUUCAAGUGCGUGACCUUAGCGCUUUUCUGACUUGGCAACGCGGAUUAGUCACAAAAAGUAUCUACAUAAUCAACGUAAGAAGAGAAGAAUGGGCGCUUUUCUUUUGAUUUCAAGAAUGUUCGACUGGAAAUAAUACAGUCAGAAAAAGAAAAAAAAAAAAAAAGAGAGAUCGGCGGGACCCGUCCGCGCUCACGGUUCUCUUUUCCCACGUUCUUGGGUGGCCGUCGCCGUCGCCUCCAAGGCUCUCGUGCAAUGACCUUGCGCCUUCCAACCUUUCCGCCUUGUGCGGAAUAUCCUUGAACUUUGAUUCUUUUUAGGAUUCUUUCGGAUCCAUCACUGCCUCUUUUUAUUUUUCUUUCCAUUUUGUGUAUUUUUCAUCUUUUUUCUUGUCUUCCGGAAGUCUGGGCUGGAAUCCUGCAAGCUAAUUGUUUCCUCAUGUGUGUAUUUCUAUCCCUUUUUAUUUUGUCUUUCCCUUUUUUAGUUUCUUCAAGAUGCUUCUCCCCUCCGCCGACGACGAACGGAAUGCGGAAGGAAACGGCAACGUUGUCGAGUCUCUCCCCUCCCUCCCCUCAACACCUUGUAUAUAUCUGUUGUUGAACAACUGCCGUUGCAUAAAUACGGCGCUCUUAAAAUAUCGUUCUUUCAUUAUCUUCUGCUGGGUAUUGUAGGCUUCCCUUUCCGUCAUAAACUGGUUUGUGUGCACCUUAUGCGGACUUUCUCGAAGCGCAGAGAAAGAGAGAGCAGGCUCACACAGCCUCCUUUUUGUAUUUUUCCCGUCUGCAUUUUUACCGGUCACCAAUGUGGGACAGACAAAGUUCAUUGGAAUGCGCACAUCUUUUCUCUUUUAAUGUCCUUCCUUUAUUUACAACCUUUCUCCUACUUAUUCGUCUACUAGGCCACUUAGCAGACACACAUCUCCGCCUGCCUCCAAACAGUUUGGCGUUUUUCGUUUUUAAUCUUAUCACAUCAAUGCGCGCGCGCCCUCUAUCUCUUGGUGGUAGACACUCCUCGAAGUUGGGGCUCUCCAUUCAUCCGCCGUUGGACCAAGCAAACAGUAUCCAGUCGGCUUCGGCCAUGUGUGGGUGUGUUGCUCUACCGACAGUGUGAAUUUUCGGCUUUUAAACCUCGAGA